GCGUGCAGAGCGGAGAGCGGUGUGUGUGUGGUGUGUGCGGCGGCUACUCUCCAGGCACCUAGCUCCCUCCUCAGCUCCUCCCACCCGAGACGCGUGGACUUCUCCCCGAUCACAUUUCCUCCUCCCUAGUGACACACACAGGCGCUGGCGGCAGCAGCUGCGGGGAUCUGCGGGCUUACAGCUCAGAAAUACUUGACUCCACCAUACAUACCAUCAUGAUAAUGGUAUUUUGUUUGCAGAACAAGAAAUACCUUACCACGCCCCUCUCAUUAUUGGUGCAUACUCAAAGGGAAAGUCCAAAAACCGGUAUGGCAAAUGGUACUGUUUCUGAAGAUGGCUUUAACAAAAAGUACACCCCACUGUAUAAUUUAUGUAUGGAAAUUCAGCCUUAUAAUUCUCUACAUUAUCUGAAAAAAACAAAUGGGGUGCGAUCUUAGACAACUAAAGUUUUACAGUUUUCCACAUGUAUAAGUAGAGCACAGAAAAUGGCGAACACCUUCUCAACAUUGAAG